CCUUUAGGUGUACCUGCGGUAAGGAUCAUUUCGUGAUAUACGAAAAUCUCCUUUUUCUAGUCUCUAUAUACACCCUUUUGUCAACUCUCAUACCUUUUGUUUGCUUCCACUAGGACAGAUGGGAUACGCCCAGUUGCGCGUCCAUCCUCUGGCCUCUUCACGGAGGACGGGGAGUGCUAGUAGGAAAGAAUACAAUUAAAACUUUGUCUUUAGAAAACUUGUCUGACAAUAUAUUUUUUAAUAAAAUAAAACUUUCAACAACGGAUCUCUAGGCUCUUGCAUCGAUGAAGAACGCAGUGAAAUGCGAUAAGUAAUGUGAAUUGCAGAAUCUCGUGAAUCAUUGAAUCUUUGAACGCACAUUGCGCCCUAUGGUAUUCCGUAGGGCAUGCCUGUCUGAGCGUCAGCUCGUCUUCUCAAGCUCUUUUGCUUGGAUAACAUUGGAUCAGCAAUACAAGCUCCUUUUGGGGUCUGUGUGCCUUCCAGAAAUUAAUAGGCGGUACGGUUCUAGCAAACCAGACGUAAUAAUAUUCUUAUCUAUCGUUAAUUUGUUUAAACUGUUGCUUGCCUUCUAAUCCACAUCUUUUUCAAGAUGACCUCAGAUCAGGUAGGGAUACCCGCUGAACUUAAGCAUAUCAAGGGCCGGGGGGAAAAAAAA
rnacentral:rRNA from 1 species